GUCCGUAGCAAUACGGAUGCUGGCGACCGGCAAACGGGUGCGUAACACGUACGCAACCUUCCUUCAGGCGGGGAAUAGCCCGGGGAAACCCGGAUUAAUACCCCAUAAAAUCUUGGAAUGGCAUCAUUCUAUUAUUAAAGCUUCGGCACCUGAUGAUGGGCGUGCGGCUGAUUAGGUAGUUGGCGGGGUAACGGCCCACCAAGCCAGCGAUCAGUAGCUGAUGUGAGAGCAUGAUCAGCCACACGGGCACUGAGACACGGGCCCGACUCCUACGGGAGGCAGCAGUAAGGAAUAUUGGUCAAUGGACGAAAGUCUGAACCAGCCAUGCCGCGUGGAGGAUGAAGGUCCUCUGGAUUGUAAACUUCUUUUAUUUGGGACGAAAAAGGGAAAUUCUUUUCCACUUGACGGUACCAGAUGAAUAAGCACCGGCUAACUCCGUGCCAGCAGCCGCGGUAAUACGGAGGGUGCAAGCGUUAUCCGGAUUCACUGGGUUUAAAGGGUGCGUAGGCGGAUAGGUAAGUCCGUGGUGAAAUCCUGCAGCUUAACUGCAGAACUGCCGUGGAUACUAUCUAUCUUGAAUAUCGUGGAGGUUAGCGGAAUAUGUCAUGUAGCGGUGAAAUGCUUAGAUAUGACAUAGAACACCCAUUGCGAAGGCAGCUAACUACGCGAUCAUUGACGCUGAUGCACGAAAGCGUGGGGAUCAAACAGGAUUAGAUACCCUGGUAGUCCACGCCCUAAACGAUGAUUACUCGACAUU
rnacentral:rRNA from 1 species